AACGCGAAGAACCUUACCUGGCCUUGACAUCUACGGAAUUCUUCAGAGAUGAGGAAGUGCCUUCGGGAACCGUAAGACAGGUGCUGCAUGGCUGUCGUCAGCUCGUGUCGUGAGAUGUUGGGUUAAGUCCCGCAACGAGCGCAACCCUUGUCCUGUGUUGCUAACCCCUUAAAAGGUGCACUCUCAGGAGACCGCCAGCGAUAAGCUGGAGGAAGGUGGGGAUGACGUCAAGUCAUCAUGGCCUUUAUGUCCAGGGCUACACACGUGCUACAAUGGGCGGUACAAAGCGUUGCCAACCCGCGAGGGGGAGCUAAUCGCAAAAAACCGCUCUCAGUUCGGAUUGCAGGCUGCAACUCGCCUGCAUGAAGCUGGAAUCGCUAGUAAUGGCGUAUCAGAACGACGCCGUGAAUACGUUCCCGGGCCUUGUACACACCGGCUAC
rnacentral:rRNA from 1 species